rnacentral:lncRNA from 1 species
UGAUUUUUAAUGAUCUUCCAAUAAACAGCUCUUUGUGGCAAAAGUGACUGUGAACUGGGUGGUCCAACCAGAGGGCUCCUGGAAGUCAGGGGAGCGGUGCUCCUGUUAAAUCACACAUUGAUAAAAGGAAGGAAGGAAAACAGUGUGCUUCCAAGCGUGUGUCCCCCAGACAAGAAAACAGUGGUGAACCUGGCUGCAUUUCUGGACCCCCAGAAGGAGGCGGCACUGACGGCCUGACAGGUCUCCUGACCUUUGGGGGCUUUUAUGUUUGUUUGCUUUUGUUCCAAGUUCCCAGAGGAAAUUCAGGAGGCACCACAACAAAACUCCUGUUUCCUGACACUGCAAUCUAGCCCUUGAAGUGAGGUCCUCUCAGAGGCAGCUUGCCAUCAAGUGCCAUUCUGGGAAGAAAAAGAGUGGUUUUCUCCUAAAAUCAGGGUCGAGUGACCUCUUCAGAUAUAGCAGAGCCUCACGUUGACUCAUAAAAGUGUUUUCAAGACUGCUUUUCCGUCCUCUUCCCCAGGAAGUCCCGGUUGGAGGCUCCCUAACAUUACUGGCUACCCACUAGGGCUGGAAAGAGUUAACGUGAGGGGUGCCAUGGAGGUGGGGCAUAACUCAGUGUAAUUACCCUUACAUAUUAGAUUGCAGCCUGAACAUGCUUACCCCAUCAUUAAGAGCCUUGUAAAGAUAACUAAUGUUUUUUUGUUGUUCUGCCCCACAUCUCCCUGCCAGCAUUCCAGAAUUGGCCCGGCAGAGCCCCAGGCUCCCGGGGGCUUGAUGGAAGCUAUGGAAGAGCAGUUCAGCUUCCUCUAAGGUAGCAAAACCUUACAGACUUCAGGGGACAGCGGAUCCAUGGCCCACGGCUGCUGCAGGCCCGUCAACCUCCUCUUCACGGAUGGGACCACCCGUUUCUCCUGACUGGAAAGGAAAGGCGGUGCAGCUUUUGUUGGUGAAGUUGCACUCAGGAUCAGAAAACAGAACGGCGGUCCUGGCGGGGGAUGGUGCCUCUGACGUGGCAGGGCCCGUGUACUCUCGCCCAUGGCCCUGCUGCUGGGCCCUGCAGGGGCUGCACGUUUGCCUGUGACAAGGGCCCCCGAGGCCACUCACAGAGCAGGCCUCCCCCAUCCCCGCCAGGGCUCCACACUUCCUCACAGCUCCUGCGUCCUCACACAGCACGUCGGGGACUGAGACAUGGUGACAAGGAUUCUUCCAACACGGGGUGAUUAUAAAUGGUCUCGUCCUCUUGUCCUUCCUCAGGAGCCCCGGCCACACUGAAAGCCUUGAUGACAAAGAAGCAAGUCAGCCACCCCAGCCACUCCAGCAGUGGAGUGACCCCCUCUGGAGUCCCUCCCCUGCCAUGGCCCCUCAGGGCCCUUUCAAGCCAGGGUACCUCUGUGCUGACAGGCUGGAAAGGCAGUAAAACACCUGGGCUGUCCCUGUCACUACCCGCGUUUUCAUUAGCAAAGAAUAACUCCAGGGGAGGCUGUCAGGGUUGGCUGAGCAGCUAGGUGAGACCAAGGGGUACAAUUUCAUGGUGAAGAGAAACUCCCCAAAUGUACCAACAGAUGAAGGUCGCCAGCAGUGCCCUGGCCAUCGGGAAAGCUCCUCUGGGUGGAACCAGGACCUGCUCACCACGGUGCUCCCCACUCGGAUCCGGGACAGCGGCAAGGUGCAGCUAAUACUUUUUGCCUUAAUGAGCCGAAGAGGCCUCCGCAGGAACAUGGAACUUUAUCCCAGGGGCCAUCUCCGUCCUCAUUCGAAGUUUUAUGAAAGCACCUAAAGUGUCCAAGGUGCUGGACGCCAACCUCCAUAGGGCACCACCGGCCCCAGGUGAUGCAGCACAACUUCCGCGUGGCAGGACCCUCUUCUAGGGUCCGUCGGCUGGUGUACUUUAAUUUAAGAGGUUCAUAUUCAGGAGGUAAUUAAUACCACAGAAAAAAAAAAUAGCAGGCAAACUCUCAAAGUGACCCCAGGGGCAGGAGAUGAGUGUGACCAAUUCAGUAUCCCAUCUGUUUCUGCAUUUGAGGGAGAUAGUCAUGGGCAGCAUCUCUAAAAGUUCGAGUCCAUACAUGUCUCUGUCCCUGCUGAUUCCAGGAGGCUCACAUUUUCAGGGAAUAUUAGUAAGACAAUGGAUCAGCCUCCAUCAAAGCCCAAAAAACUAGUGUAUUAGUUGAUUCUCGCAUUGCUACAGAGAAAUUCCUGAGACUGGGUAAUUUGUAAAGAAAAGAGGUUUAUAAUUGGCUUAUGGCUCUGCAGGCUGUACAGGAAGCAUGGACGCUUCUGCUUCUGGGGAGCCUCAGGGAGCUUUGACCCAUGGCAGAAGGCAAAGCAGGAGCAGAUGUCUCACAUGACAGGAAUAGGACCAAGAGGGAGGUGGGGAGAUGCCACACACUUUAAAACAACCGGAUCUCAUGAGAACUCAGGAUUGCAACCACGGCACCAUGAAAAACUGCACCCAUGAUCCAGUCACCUCCCACCGGACCUCACCUCCAGCACUGGGGAUUGCAUUUCAACAUGAGAUUUGGGUGGGGACACAGAUUUAAACCAUGUCAACUAGAAGAAGAGUGACAGCAGAUCUAAACAGUGGAGUGACCCCUCUGCAGCUCCCAACCUUCCUCGGCGCAGGCAGGGAGAUGACAGUCACCCGCAUUGCAAAUACCAACAUUUUAAAACUCUCAAUAAAAAGUUUGUUUAAACUUUUAGAAUCCUACUUUUUACCAUAAAAUGUGUACAUAGGAUAUGUGACUAAGUUCUCAUCCCUCCAUUGGUUGUUCUUUUCUUCAGUUUCUCCUGGCCUCAGUUUUGAUCAUAGAGGAGGCUCCUGGCCAGAGGCAAAGCCGCUGUUCCCUGGCAGUGACAGCGUGGCCCAGAAAGGUGGCUUCAGGGAGUUCAGAGCAUGAGACUGUGGAUCCCCCUCAUCUUGGCAGAGCAGGAGCUCAAUAGGGCAUCGUGGAGGUGUGAGUAGGAUGGGGGAGGAUCUCUCCUCUGCCUCCGUGGAGAACACAGUGUGUGACAUCACCGCAG